rnacentral:lncRNA from 1 species
GUUUUCACUUCAGACCAUCUUGGGGAAUUCGACAAACGAGAUCUCUGUCUUGCCGAAUGGAGACGAGUACAGGCUCUGGCCAGUGUUUUCUGGUCCCGUUGGAGGAAGGAAUACCUGCCGUUACUACAACAACGACGAAAAUGGACCGAAGAUCGCCGUGAUCUCAUCGAAGGAGACGUCAUUCUUCUUAAGGACAAAAACAUUUGCCGUACCCAAUGGCCCGUUGGAAUUAUAGUGAACUCAUUUAAAAGUUCAGACGAACAUGUCCGAAAAGCAGAAGUGCGAGUUAUCGUUAAUGGAAAAGCCACAACCUACACACGCCCUAUCGUGGACAUGAUUCUUCUCAUAGAGAACACUCCUGUGUAAAUAUAUGUAUAUAUCUCUGGAUUUAUAUAGUGACAUUCAUAUGUGUUAUAUCUUAUGGAAUAAUAGUGAUAUCAGGUAGAUUUCAGACGGGAGUAUUCUGGAUCACAUCCGCAAUUAUAUUCAUUGUAUAGUCUAUUUGAUUGGAUUUUUAGACAUCCGUAUUUUCCGGAAAUAAUCUGGACUUAUCCGUAUUUUCACUACCGUUUACUUUCUCUUCCUCACCUGUCUAUUGCAAAUGGAUGCCACGACAAAUCUGCUCCUGUGGAUAUUGUGACAAAUCACCGUCAAGUACGUUUCAAAAUCGAUUAUAAACUGUUAAAAUAUAUAUACCGUUAAUUCCGUUAACUUGAAUUCCACGUUUAUUCAACAAAUACGAACUGUAAUUGUUUAUUUCUAUGAAUUGACCUGAGAAUUCUACUUUCGUUUUUGACUUGAUAUUAUUAUUGCAUUGAACAUUCAUAUAUUUCUUUCGUACAUAUUGUAAAAUAUUGUAUUUUUAUUUCUUUCAGUUUACCAAACAAUACACACUCUGUAAAAACUCCUGUACCAAUUCUGGUGGAAUUAUAAUCUACAAUCUUCACACACAAGUUGUUAUUCUUUAUAAUUUGCCGAGAUUGCGAUACAGUCCCAUGGUUAUACUAGCUGAGUCAGGCUCAGCAUAUGGA